UACGAAGGGGGCUAGCGUUGCUCGGAAUCACUGGGCGUAAAGCACACGUAGGCGGACUCUUAAGUCGGGGGUGAAAUCCUGGAGCUCAACUCCAGAACUGCCUUCGAUACUGGGAGUCUUGAGUUCGGGAGAGGUGAGUGGAACUGCGAGUGUAGAGGUGAAAUUCGUAGAUAUUCGCAAGAACACCAGUGGCGAAGGCGGCUCACUGGCCCGAUACUGACGCUGAGGUGCGAAAGCGUGGGGAGCAAACAGGG
rnacentral:rRNA from 1 species